rnacentral:tRNA from 1 species
GGAUGUAGCUCAGUGUGCAGAGUGCUUGCCUAACAUGCAGAAAGCCCUGGGUUCAAUCCCCAGCACCA